GGGAAUCCUACGGGAGGGCCAAGAGUGGGGAAUCUUGCCCAAUGGAGGAAACUCUGAUGCAGCCAUGCCGCGUGAGUGAAGAAGGCCCUUGGGUUGUAAAGCUCUUUCGUCGGGGAAGAAAAUGACUGUACCCGAAUAAGAAGGCCCGGCUAACUCCGUGCCACAAGCCGCGGUA
rnacentral:rRNA from 1 species